rnacentral:rRNA from 1 species
AUUGAACGCUGGCGGCAGGCCUAACACAUGCAAGUCGAGCGGCAGCGGGAAGUAGCUUGCUACUUUGCCGGCGAGCGGCGGACGGGUGAGUAAUGUCUGGGAAACUGCCUGAUGGAGGGGGAUAACUACUGGAAACGGUAGCUAAUACCGCAUAACGUCGCAAGACCAAAGAGGGGGACCUUCGGGCCUCUUGCCAUCAGAUGUGCCCAGAUGGGUUGAGCUAGUAGGUGGGGUAAUGGCUCACCUAGGCGACGAUCCCUAGCUGGUCUGAGAGGAUGACCAGCCACACUGGAACUGAUACACGGUCCAGACUCCUACGGGAGGCAGCAGUGGGGAAUAUUGCACAAUGGGCGCAAGCCUGAUGCAGCCAUGCCGCGUGUAUGAAGCAGGCCUUCGGGUUGUAAAGUACUUUCAGCGGGGAGGAAGGUGUUGAGGUUAAUAACCUCAGCAAUUGACGUUACCCGCAGAAGAAGCACCGGCUAACUCCGUGCCAGCCGCCGCUGUAAAAC